UGCCAGCAGCCGCGGUAACACGGGGGGCGCAAGCGUUAUCCGGAUUUACUGGGCGUAAAGCGCGUGCAGGCGGUUUGGUAAGUUGGAUGUGAAAGCUCCUGGCUCAACUGGGAGAGGUCGUUCAAUACUGCCAGACUAGAGGACGGUAGAGGAAGGUGGAAUUCCCGGUGUAGUGGUGAAAUGCGUAGAUAUCGGGAGGAACACCAGUGGCGAAGGCGGCCUUCUGGGCCGUUCCUGACGCUCAGACGCGAAAGCAUGGGUAGCGAACGGGAUUAGAUA
rnacentral:rRNA from 1 species